ACCACAAUGCACACAUUGUACGGUCAUUAAUCCUAUUCAGGGUGACAUAUCAGCUUCAGCUGACAACAAUGAACAUUUUCUCUUGUCGUUAAAGUAGAGCGCAGUUGUUAUAUCUAUUUUCAAAUGAAAUGUUAUAUCAUUAAUGCACUUCCUGCUUGGGCAGACCUAUGCCAGAUACAGCUGGCUCGUUCAGUGUGACUUGCUAUCGCAAGGGAAUACAACCCAGUGUCUAUACAGUGACGUAUCCCUGCUGUACCAGGGCAAGAAGAAGCAACUUGACUCCAGGAUGGGGAAGCUGCUUCUGUUGGCUACUCUGGUGUUACUCAACACAGUGGCCUGUCUGGCCGUGGACAACAGUGUGUGCCUCGCCCUGUUCGGUGUUGGGCUUGACGUCUGCCAAGUGAACACCCUCGAGGGGGAAGUGUAUUGGUAACAUCGACAACGGAGAACUAUGCCAGUGCCCAGAAUCACGUGCUGGAACUCUGUGUCAGGUUCAAGUCGUCGGGUCGAAGAAGAACCUCAGCCUGUGCGAGCGACAACAGGAGCUACAUACAACGACGUUUCGAGUCCUCAACACCACAGACAUGACCGACAGCAGCAUAGUGGGGUUCCGUGCCUUAGUUGACCUUAAUGUACUCAAGUCCGUGAUGCACGCGAUCAACAUUUCAUACCUCCACGAGCGCACGUGCUUGCCAGACGGCACGUUUACGUCUGCCCAGUGUGACGUCAGCAUUGAUGACCUUGUCACGAGAAGAUGUUAUUGCGUCAACAGCACCACGGGAGAAGUUGUGCGCGAGGUCACAGCAACGGCCUUGGCGAACGUCAACUGUGAAGGUGUCAAAAAAGCAUGCGAA